AUUGAACGCUGGCGGAAUGCUUUACACAUGCAAGUCGAACGGCAGCACGGGGGCAACCCUGGUGGCGAGUGGCGAACGGGUGAGUAAUACAUCGGAACGUGCCCAGUCGUGGGGGAUAACGUAGCGAAAGUUACGCUAAUACCGCAUACGAUCUAUGGAUGAAAGCGGGGGACCGUAAGGCCUCGCGCGAUUGGAGCGGCCGAUGUCAGAUUAGGUAGUCGGUGUGGUAAAGGCUCACCAAGCCGACGAUCUGUAGCUGGUCUGAGAGGACGACCAGCCACGCUGGGACUGAGACACGGCCCAGACUCCUACGGGAGGCAGCAGUGGGGAAUUUUGGACAAUGGGCGCAAGCCUGAUCCAGCCAUUCCGCGUGCAGGAUGAAGGCCUUCGGGUUGUAAACUGCUUUUGUACGGAACGAAAAGGCUCUGGUUAAUACCUGGGGCUCAUGACGGUACCGUAAGAAUAAGCACCGGCUAACUACGUGCCAGCCGCCGCAGUAACAC
rnacentral:rRNA from 1 species